GCACUGCUGAGGAGUCCCGUUGAUAGGACGAAACGGUCGUCCAGUGC
rfam:Schistosoma rodhaini strain Burundi genome assembly, scaffold: SROB_scaffold0003240